CGGUGACAGGUGGUGCAUGGUUGUCGUCAGCUCGUGUCGUGAGAUGUGGUAAGUCCCGCAACGAGCGCAACCCCUAUUGUUAGUUGCCAUCAUUCAGUUGGGCACUCUAGCGAGACUGCCGGUAAUAAACCGGAGGAAGGUGGGGAUGACGUCAAAUCAUCAUGCCCCUUAUGACCUGGGCUACACACGUGCUACAAUGGUUGGUACAACGAGUUGCGAGUCGGUGACGGCGAGCUAAUCUCUUAAAGCCAAUCUCAGUUCGGAUUGUAGGCUGCAACUCGCCUACAUGAAGUCGGAAUCGCUAGUAAUCGCGGAUCAGCACGCCGCGGUGAAUACGUUCCCGGGCCUU
rnacentral:rRNA from 1 species